UAUUUGCACUUUCAUUAAGGUUGUGCUAUAUUUUUUGAGACACAUUAAAAGGGAAUCAAGUAAUUGAAGAUUGAAAACAUCAAAAUCAACAUUCGAAAAUCUUGAGCUGUACCCGCAACUGUAAGCUUAGUCCUGUAAGGGAUGCUCGUUGUUAACUACAAAACCACUGUUUUAGAACGGGAAGGGAAACAACAAGACGCGAAGCCAGGAGACCUGCCUUUGUUAACAAAUAUCG
rnacentral:ncRNA from 2 species